GUCCCCAUAGCUUAACGGACAAAGCGCAACCCUCCGGAGGUUGAAAUCGAGGUUCGAUUCCUCGUGGGGGCA
rnacentral:tRNA from 1 species